AGCAGCGUGGCUCAGUGGAAAGAGCACGGGCUUGGGAUUCGGAGGUUAUGGGUUCGAAUCCCUGCUCUGUCA
rfam:Ornithorhynchus anatinus chromosome 1, whole genome shotgun sequence.